AUUCUGCCCCAGUGACCUGGAUCCUGCCUCUACCACUUCUUCCCUGCACAGUCACUAGGAACGGACUCUGGCAGCAGAGCCGCGCUGUAGUGCCCCAGCCAGCCAGGAUCUCCCGGGUUCUGGGCUGGAAGGGGCUGCCAAGACCAUCAGUCCAAUCUUUGGUCUACAGGUUGGGAAACUGAGGCUCAAGGAAGGUCAGUGGGGGUCCAGAAGGAACCUUGUAUGUGAGAUCUGGAAGCAGGAAUUGGAGCAGCAGUUUCAUUCUGCUUCAGCUCAGGAAGCGUCUUCGGUUCCCCCACCGCUGUGGGCCAGGUUCCCCCUCCAGGCUGCUGGGCUGGGACUGAGUCACUUCUUCCCAGGCUGUAAAUCCUGGGACUGCUGUGCAAGGCAGAGUCACUAGGGACGGACUCAGGCAGCAGAGCCGCGUUCUCAUGCCCCAGCCAGCCAGGCUCUCCUGGGAUCUGGGCUGGAAGGGGCUGCCGAGACCAUCAGUCAAAUCUUUGGUCUACAGGUGGGGAAACUGAGGCUCAAGGAAGGCUCUGCGUCCUGCU
rnacentral:sRNA from 1 species